GCGGGCCGGGCCCCUCUGGCGACAGGCGAUCCACGCUUUUCGUGAUGUCGGACCGCAUCG
rnacentral:ncRNA from 1 species